CAAAUUGAAAUGAACACUUUGCAUAGACAGAGGGUACAUAGAGCAGAGUCCAUGAUUGAACUGAUCACUUUGUUCAAUGGUUUUACACGACCAUUUCUUCCUUUUACCUGUUUUGCAUUACAAGUGAACGCUAGAGCUCUUUUUAUAGGAGGAAAACAUCUACAUACUAAAACUUCAUGGUCAUGAAUAGUCAGAAUGAUUAUGCCGCUGAUGAUGAUGAUGACUACGGUGAUGGUGAUUCUUCUUCCCGUGUUCCUUAUCCUCAGGCUCAGGUGACCUUGAACGUGAACGUCUCUGUCUCCUACUCCUUUUCUGAUGCCUGUCAUUAUCAUUGUCGUCUCUGUCACAAUAAUGAAGGAGAUUCUUCUUCUUCUUACUGUGUUCCGUAUCUUCAGGCUCGGGUGAACGUCUGCUUCUGUUACUCCUCUUCUGAUGCUUGUCCUUGUCAUCUUCCUCUCUGUCAUGAUAAUGAUGGUGAUGAUUCUUCUUCUUACUGUGUUCCUUAUCUUCAGGCUCGGGUGAACAUCCACGUCUGUUACGCUUUUUCUGAUGCCUGUCAUCAUCAUCGUCCUUUGAAUCGAGAUAAUGGUGGUAAUGAUUUUUCUUGCAGUGAUCCUUAUUUUCAGGCUCGGGUGAGCCUGACAGUCCGUGUCUGUUACUCCUUUUCUGGUGCCUGUCAUUAUCAUCAUCCUUAGAGUCGUGAUAAUAGUGGCGAUGAUUAUUCUUCCUGUGAUCCUUCUCUUCAGGCUCGGGCGGACUUCUCUGUCUGUUAUUCCUUUUCUGACACCUCCCACUAUCGUCAUCCUCUGAGUCACGAUAAUGGUGGUGAUCGUUCUUCUUCCUGUGAUCCUUCUCUUCGGGCUCUGGUGAACUUGAUCGUGACCGUUUCUGUCUAUUAUUCCUUUUCUGAUGCAUGUCAUUAUCAUCGUCCUCUGAGUCAUGAGAAUGGUGGUGAUUCUUCUUCUUCCUGUGUUCCUUGUCUUCGGGCUCGGGUGAACUUGACCGUGAAUGUCUGUCUCUGUUACUCCUCUGGUACCUGUCAUUGUUAUCGUCCUCUGAACUUGACACAGAAUGCUUUCCCCAACUUGACUUUUGAUGUCUCUGUCUGUUACUUCGUCUCUGAUGCCCAUCAGAAUCAUCAGAAGACUUGGAUUGCUUUAGAGACUUCUUAUGUUUUUUCUUCUUCAGUGAUCUUCCUCCAUCAUCAUCCGAAGAUGAACUAAAGUCUUUAUCAUCACGUAAAUCUGCUCUGGCUGGUGAAGACCGCUUUCUGUUCUUGCUUUUACUGGAUUUCUUUUUCUUCUUUGGCUUGCUUGAUAAGCUGGCAAGCAAAUCAGGCAUAUUAUCCCCAGUAAGAAAUCCUCCGUACUCAUCAAAUAUGUCCUCAGCAACUAUCUGUUGGUUGGGGUCGUCAAGUUCGAACCCACCUCGUGGAGGACUGAUUCCAGGCUUUUGUUUGAGCUCCCACUUCAAAGGCUCAGAAGCAUCUGUCUGAGCCAGGAUAGCAGUUAAAGGGUCAUCUCUUUUUAUUCGACUCUCUUCAUUUGGCAUUAUAGCAUCUUUCAAUGGACAUUCACGAUCACCACUCUGAUGGCCAAAGGUUCCACAUCUGACGCACUUGACAUUACGUAUCUCAAUUCCAAAGGGUUUGGCCCUUCCAACUACACCUGUUUCCAGCCUAGGAGCGUUUUUAAGCACUUCAAAUUCUUCUUCUGUUGGCAACGGACGGC
rnacentral:misc_RNA from 1 species